CCUACGGGAGGCAGCAGUGGGGAAUAUUGGGCAAUGGACGAAACUCUGAUCCAGCAAUGCCGCGUGAAUGAAGACGGUCUUCGGAUUGUAAAGUUCUUUUGUCAGGGAAGAAUAAAAUUACGGUACCUGAAGAAUAAGCUCCGCCUAACUACGUGCAAGCAGCCGCGGUAUUACGUAGGGAGCAAGCGUUGUUCGGAAUGACUGGGCGUAAAGGGUGCGUAGGUGGUUAUACAAGUUAGAAGUGAAAUACCCAGGGCUUAACUCGGGUGCUGCUUCUAAAACUGUAAGACUUGAGUGCAGUAGAGGUGAGUGGAAUUCCUGGUGUAGCGGUGGAAUGCGGAGAUAUUAGGAGGAACACCAGAGGCGAAGGCGGCUAACUGGACUGCAACUGACGCUGAGGCACGAAAGUGUGGGGAGCAAACAGGAUUAGAUACCCGGGUAGUC
rnacentral:rRNA from 1 species